AUCCUGGCUCAGAUUGAACGCUGGCGGCAGGCUUAACACAUGCAAGUCGAGCGGAGAGAGGUAGCUUGCUACUGAUCUUAGCGGCGGACGGGUGAGUAAUACUUAGGAAUCUGGCUAUUAGUGGGGGACAACAUUUCGAAAGGGAUGCUAAUACCGCAUACGUCCUACGGGAGAAAGCAGGGGAUCUUCGGACCUUGCGCUAAUAGAUGAGCCUAAGUCGGAUUAGCUAGUUGGUGGGGUAAAGGCCUACCAAGGCGACGAUCUGUAGCGGGUCCGAGAGGAUGAUCCGCCACACUGGGACUGAGACACGGCCCAGACUCCUACGGGAGGCAGCAGUGGGGAAUAUUGGACAAUGGGGGGAACCCUGAUCCAGCCAUGCCGCGUGUGUGAAGAAGGCCUUAUGGUUGUAAAGCACUUUAAGCGAGGAGGAGGGUACUGGUAUUAAUACUACCAGGUACUGGACGUUACUCGCAGAAUAAGCACCGGCUAACUCUGUGCCAGCAGCCGCGGUAAUACAGAGGGUGCGAGCGUUAAUCGGAUUUACUGGGCGUAAAGCGUGCGUAGGCGGCUAAUUGAGUCGGAUGUGAAAUC
rnacentral:rRNA from 1 species